AUACGAAAGGUGCAAGCGUUGUUCGGAUUUACUGGGCGUAAAGAGAGUGUAGGUGGUUUAUUAAGUCGGAUGUGAAAUCCCGGGGCUCAACCUCGGAACUGCAUUCGAUACUGAUAGGCUAGAGUUUGGGAGGGGUAAGCGGAAUUCCGUGUGUAGCAGUGAAAUGCGUAGAUAUACGGAGGAACACCUGAGGCGAAGGCGGCUUACUGGACCAAUACUGACACUGAGACUCGAAAGCGUGGGUAGCAAACAGGAAUAGAAACCCCAGUAGUCC
rnacentral:rRNA from 1 species